rnacentral:rRNA from 1 species
UACGAAGGGUGCAAACGUUGCUCGGAAUUAUUGGGCGUAAAGCGCACGUAGGCGGCUUUGCAAGUCCCAUGUGAAAGCCCACGGCUUAACCGUGGAAGUGCAUGGGAAACUGCAGAGCUUGAGUACUUAAGAGGAUCGCGGAAUUCCCGGUGUAGAGGUGAAAUUCGUAGAUAUCUGGAGGAACACCGGUGGCGAAGGCGGCAUCCUGGACCGGCAUUGACGCUGAGGCGCGAAAGCCAGGGGAGCAAACGGG